UAGGGAAUAUUGGUAAUGUGCGAAAGCGCGAACCAGCAACGCCGCGUGCACGAUGAAGGCCUUCGGGUCGUAAAGUGCUUUUAGAGAGGAUGAGGAAGGACAGUACUUUCUGAAUAAGCCUCGGCUAACUACGUGCCAGCAGCCGCGGUAAAACGUAGGAGGCAAGCGUUAUCCGGAUUUACUGGGCGUAAAGCGCAUGCAGGUGGUUUUGUAAGUUGGAUGUGAAAGCUCCUGGCUUAACUGGGAGAGGUCGUUCAAAACUACAAGACUUGAGAUUGGUAGAGGAAAAUGGAAUUCCGGGUGUAGUGGUGAAAUGCGUAGAUAUCCGGAGGAACACCAGUGGCGAAAGCGGUUUUCUGGACCAAUUCUGACACUCAGAUGCGAAAGCUAAGGUAGCAAA
rnacentral:rRNA from 1 species